UGAUAAUUUUAAUAGCCGCGGUAUAUUGACCGUGCAAAGGUAGCAUAAUAAUUAGUCUUUUAAUUGAGGUCUAGAAUGAAUGGUUAGACGAAAAAUUAACUUUAUUUUUUUUAUUAAGUUGAAUUUUAAGUUUCAGUAAAAAUUCUGAAAUUAAUAAGAGGGACGAUAAGACCCUAUAGACCUUAAUUAUAUAAAUUAUUUUAUUUGUUUUGUUUAUUUUUUUUAAUAUGAUUUUUAUUUUUUAGUUGGGGUGACUACUAAAAAUUUAAACUUUAGUUUUUUAUUACAAUUUAUUUGGUUAAUUGAUCUUUUUUUUUGAUUAAAAGAUAAAGGUACCUUAGGGAUAACAGCGUAAUAUUUCUGGAUAGUUCAUAUUGAUAGGAGUGUUUGCGACCUCGAUGUUGGAUUAAAAUUUAAUUAUGGGGUAGGUUUCAUAAAUAUUAGGUCUGUUC
rnacentral:rRNA from 1 species